rnacentral:miRNA from 1 species
UUCUUUGUUUUUAAUUCACAG